CCUACGGGAGGCAGCAGUGAGGAAUAUUGGUCAAUGGGCGCAAGCCUGAACCAGCCAUGCCGCGUGCAGGAAGAAUGCCCUACGGGUUGUAAACUGCUUUUAUUUGGGAAUAAACCUUUCUACGUGUAGAAAGCUGAAGGUACCAAUUGAAUAAGCACCGGCUAACUCCGUGCCAGCAGCCGCGGUAAUACGGAGGGUGCAAGCGUUAUCCGGAAUCAUUGGGUUUAAAGGGUCCGCAGGCGGACCUAUAAGUCAGUGGUGAAAGCCUACAGCUUAACUGUGGAACUGCCAUUGGAACUGUAGGUCUUGAAUUCGGUCGAAGUGGGCGGAAUGUGUAGUGUAGCGGUGAAAUGCAUAGAUAUUACACAGAACACCGAUAGCGAAGGCAGCUCACUAGGCCUGGAUUGACGCUCAGGGACGAAAGCGUGGGGAUCAAACAGGAUUAGAUACCCUGGUAGUCCACGCCGUAAACUAUGAUUACUCGUUUUCGGCGAUAUACAGUCGGAGACUAAGCGAAAGUGAUAAGUAAUCCACCUGGGGAGUACGAUCGCAAGGUUGAAACUCAAAUGAAUUGACGGCGNGAGAGAGACGACGGACGACGACGAGGGAGGAGG
rnacentral:rRNA from 1 species